AUUGAACGCUGGCGGCAUGCCUUACACAUGCAAGUCGAACGGUAACAGGCCGCAAGGUGCUGACGAGUGGCGAACGGGUGAGUAAUACAUCGGAACGUGCCCGAUCGUGGGGGAUAACGCAGCGAAAGCUGUGCUAAUACCGCAUACGAACUACGGAAGAAAGCGGGGGAUCGCACGCCCUCGCGCGGACGGAGCGGGGGAGGGCAGGUUAGGUAGUCGGUGGGGUAAAGGCUCACCAAGCCAACGAUCUGUAGCUGGUCUGAGAGGACGACCAGCCACACUGGGACUGAGACACGGCCCAGACUCCUACGGGAGGCAGCAGUGGGGAAUUUUGGACAAUGGGCGCAAGCCUGAUCCAGCAAUGCCGCGUGCAGGAAGAAGGCCUUCGGGUUGUAAACUGCUUUUGUACGGAACGAAACGGUCCUGGUUAAUACCCGGGGCUAAUGACGGUACCGUAAGAAUAAGCACCGGCUAACUCCGUGCCAGCAGCCGCAGUAAUAC
rnacentral:rRNA from 1 species